CAAUAGCGUAUAUUUAAGUUGUUGCAGUUAAAAAGCUCGUAGUUGGAUUUCGGAUGGGACUUGCCGGUCCGUCGUUUCGAUGUGCACUGGCCAGUCCUAUCUUGUUGUCGGGGACUAGCUCCUGGGCUUCACUGUCCGGGACUAGGAGCUGACGAGGUUACUUUGAGUAAAUUAGAGUGUUCAAAGCAAGCCUACGCUCUGAAUACAUUAGCAUGGAAUAACACGAUAGGACUCUGGCUUAUCUUGUUGGUCUGUGAGACCAGAGUAAUGAUUAAGAGGGACAGUCGGGGGCAUUCGUAUUUCAUUGUCAGAGGUGAAGUUCUUGGAUUUAUGAAAGACGAACUUCUGCGAAAGCAUUUGUCAAGGAUGUUUUCAUUAA
rnacentral:rRNA from 1 species